rnacentral:rRNA from 1 species
ACCCUUUAAUGUUUGAUGUUCUAACGUGGACCCGUGAUCCGGGUUGCGGACAGUGUCUGGUGGGUAGUUUGACUGGGGCGGUCUCCUCCUAAAGAGUAACGGAGGAGCACGAAGGUUGGCUAAUCCUGGUCGGACAUCAGGAGGUUAGUGCAAUGGCAUAAGCCAGCUUGACUGCGAGCGUGACGGCGCGAGCAGGUGCGAAAGCAGGUCAUAGUGAUCCGGUGGUUCUGAAUGGAAGGGCCAUCGCUCAACGGAUAAAAGGUACUCCGGGGAUAACAGGCUGAUACCGCCCAAGAGUUCAUAUCGACGGCGGUGUUUGGCACCUCGAUGUCGGCUCAUCACAUCCUGGGGCUGAAGUAGGUCCCAAGGGUAUGGCUGUUCGCCAUUUAAAGUGGUACGCGAGCUGGGUUUAGAACGUCGUGAGACAGUUCGGUCCCUAUCUGCCGUGG